UACAGAGGGUGCAAGCGUUAAUCGGAAUUACUGGGCGUAAAGCGCACGUAGGUGGCAGACAAAGUCUGAUGUGAAAUCCCUAGGCUUAACCUAGGAAUGGCGUUGGAAACUGGUUUGCUUGAGUCGGAUAGAGGGUCGUGGAAUUUCUGGUGUAGCGGUGAAAUGCGUAGAGAUCAGAAAGAACACCAGUGGCGAAGGCGACGGCCUGGGUCCAGACUGACACUGAGGUGCGAAAGCGUGGGGAGCAAACAGG
rnacentral:rRNA from 1 species